rnacentral:lncRNA from 1 species
CUAAUCAUGAGAACUUAAUUAAUUAUUGUUUAAUGGUUUUGGAAUUAUUAUUUAAGUACUAAAUAAGGGUUUAUUAGUAUUCUAAUCUAACAAUAUCCAAAUGCCACCAAAAUUUGGGUGGAGUCAGGGAAUAAUAUUCAGAGGCUCCCCACAAUUUUUGGUGAUUUUUGGACAUACAAAUAAAUUAUUAUAAAUCAUACAAGUUUCAUUUGCUAAUUAAAAGGGCAAAUUUUUACAGACAUGUAAACUACCAGAAAACAGAAUCCACUAUUUUUCUUGUGUCCUACUUAUUUCAGGGAAUAUACACAAAAAUUUUCAUGAUUUUUGGAUCAACCUACAAUUUUCUACACAAUUUCAAACAUUCAGCAAAAAAAAAAUUGCACAAAAGGAAAAAAGAAAAAGAUUUUUCGCGCGGCGGGCGGCCUGGAACUUGGCCCGCAAGCCGGCCCACGCGCGCUCGGCCUGCUCACGCGCCGCGC